rnacentral:rRNA from 1 species
UACGAAGGGUGCAAGCGUUGCUCGGAAUUACUGGGCGUAAAGCGUGCGUAGGUGGUUCGUUAAGUCUGAUGUGAAAGCCCUGGGCUCAACCUGGGAAUGGCAUUGGAUACUGGCGGGCUAGAGUGCGGUAGAGGGCAGUGGAAUUCCCGGUGUAGCAGUGAAAUGCGUAGAGAUCGGGAGGAACAUCUGUGGCGAAGGCGACUGCCUGGACCAGCACUGACACUGAGGCACGAAAGCGUGGGGAGCAAACAGG